CCUACGGGAGGCAGCCGUGGGGGAUAUUGCACAAUGGGGGAAACCCUGAUGCAGCGACGCCGCGUGGGUGAAGAAGUAUUUCGGUAUGUAAAGCCCUAUCAGCAGGGAAGAAAGAAGACGGUACCUGACUAAGAAGCCCCGGCUAACUACGUGCCAGCAGCCGCGGUAAUACGUAGGGGGCGAGCGUUAUCCGGAUUCACUGGGUGUAAAGGGAGCGUAGACGGCCGUGCAAGCCAGGAGUGAAAGCCCGGGGCCCAACCCCGGGACUGCUCUUGGAACUGUGCGGCUGGAGUGCGGGAGGGGCAGGCGGAAUUCCUGGUGUAGCGGUGAAAUGCGUAGAUAUCAGGAGGAACACCGGCGGCGAAGGCGGCCUGCUGGACCGCGACUGACGUUGAGGCUCGAAAGCGUGGGGAGCGAACAGGAUUAGAUACCCCGGUAGUC
rnacentral:rRNA from 1 species